rnacentral:rRNA from 1 species
ACGUUCUUCGGGGCGAAAACUCUCAAGGAUCUUACCGCUGUUGAGAUCCAGUUCGAUGUAACCCACUCGUGCACCCAACUGAUCUUCAGCAUCUUUUACUUUCACCAGCGUUUCUGGGUGAGCAAAAACAGGAAGGCAAAAUGCCGCAAAAAAGGGAAUAAGGGCGACACGGAAAUGUUGAAUACUCAUACUCUUCCUUUUUCAAUAUUAUUGAAGCAUUUAUCAGGGUUAUUGUCUCAUGAGCGGAUACAUAUUUGAAUGUAUUUAGAAAAAUAAACAAAUAGGGGUUCCGCGCACAUUUCCCCGAAAAGUGCCACCUGACGUCUAAGAAACCAUUAUUAUCAUGACAUUAACCUAUAAAAAUAGGCGUAUCACGAGGCCCUUUCGUCUCGCGCGUUUCGGUGAUGACGGUGAAAACCUCUGACACAUGCAGCUCCCGGAGACGGUCACAGCUUGUCUGUAAGCGGAUGCCGGGAGCAGACAAGCCCGUCAGGGCGCGUCAGCGGGUGUUGGCGGGUGUCGGGGCUGGCUUAACUAUGCGGCAUCAGAGCAGAUUGUACUGAGAGUGCACCAUAUGCGGUGUGAAAUACCGCACAGAUGCGUAAGGAGAAAAUACCGCAUCAGGCGCCAUUCGCCAUUCAGGCUGCGCAACUGUUGGGAAGGGCGAUCGGUGCGGGCCUCUUCGCUAUUACGCCAGCUGGCGAAAGGGGGAUGUGCUGCAAGGCGAUUAAGUUGGGUAACGCCAGGGUUUUCCCAGUCACGACGUUGUAAAACGACGGCCAGUGAAUUCGAGCUCGGUACCGUAAUACGACUCACUAUAGGGCGACAUAUGAUCGAUGAUAUCCCAUGGGCGGCCGCCUGCAGACCAGGUCUACCGAAACCAGUUACGAACGGGCAUACAAUACCAAAGCCCACUUCCAGGAUUUUGCCCGCGGUUUGGGUUACCAGAUGAUAAGUGCCGGCAACAAUAGUCAAGACUGGAGAUCUGGAUCCCUCGAGUCUAGAGUCGACCUGCAGGCAUGCAAGCUGGCGUAAUCAUUGUCCAAGUCCCUU